CUCAUUGUUCUGUCUGUGGAGAAGCUGGUUGCCAGGAUGUUGGGCGAAUGAAAUUCAUUUUUCACAGUUGGUGAUGGCGGAUGUCGAAAUCGACACCAUGAAGAAUUACCACAUAGCCUUUGAGAGAAUAAACCCCGAUACGAGUCGUUACCCCUACUGUAUCGUGUGGACACCUAUCCCCGUACUAUCAUGGCUGCUACCAUUCAUUGGACACAUGGGAAUCUGCACUUCUUCUGGUAUCAUCCGGGAUUUUGCUGGGCCCUAUUUUGUCUCUGAAGACAACAUGGCCUUUGGGAGACCAACAAAAUACUGGAUGCUGGACGUAGCCAGGGUGUAUGCUAGUGGCUCCAACGCCUGGGACACAGCAGUGCAAGACGCCUCAGAGGAAUACAAAAACAGAAUGCACAACCUCUGCUGUGACAACUGUCACUCCCAUGUGGCCAUGGCUCUGAACCUGAUGCGCUAUGAGAACAAAACCUCGUGGAACAUGAUCAACCUCUGUCUGCUCUCCCUAGUCCACGGAAAACAUGUCAGGUACUGAGAUACUGUCUGUCUGUGUGCUCUCUCUAGUCCACGGAAAACAUGUCAGGUACUGAGAUACUGUCUGUCUGUGUGCUCUCUCUAGUCCACGGAAAACAUGUCAGGUACUGAGAUACUGUCUGUCUGUCUGCUCUCUCUAGUCCACGGAAAACAUGUCAGGUACUGAGAUACUGUCUGUCUGACUGCUCUCUCUAGUCCACGGAAAACAUGUCAGCUGUGCAGGGUUCCUGAAGACUUGGCUUCCCUUCCUCAUGUUGCUGGGUAUCAUCCUAACUGUGGCUCUGACCAUUAACCUGCAGUGACCAGCCAACCAGGUGGGAGGACACAGCUUACAGGGGGCAAUGAGCAGAGGGGGGAGUGGGAUGGACUCCCUGCAGAAGGUGGCGAGGGAGAUUUGGGGGGGGACACAAACAGGGAGGAAGGGAAUGGGAACCCUCUGCAGGUUGAAAGUGACUGUUGAGGUGGGAGGUGUCACACCUACUCAACUCUGAUUGUGAGGGUGGAGAGGGAAAAAGACAUGGAACUGUGACAACCCAGCAACAUACAAACCAAUGAGAGGACAAAGAAGAGAAGGCCAAAAACAUCCUCCACUCAACUAAGCACAAAGCCUGAUUGUUUGUAGGACCAGGCAACCUGGCUUUCACUGGUGGCGUGAUCCUACUGAAGCUGGAAUACAUUUGGAUGGCACUUUUAGUUGUUUGUUUAUUUUGGGGUUGAGAGUAAUUGUUCUUGAUGGACGGUAGCUUACUUUUAAACAUUUUAAUGCCCUCCACAAACAUCCCAAGUCCAUAAAUGUUUAUGCAAUUUUCAAAUGUUUUGAUUUUCAAUGAAAGGCCUAGUAUAUGGUUAUAGACCAUCAUAACCAUCCAUUACCUAGGAAUGUGGAGGAGGAUGUUGCUGGCUCUGUAGAUUACAGUAGCGAUGGUAGUGGUGGAGGGGGUAGGGGUUGUUCUUUCUUUCAGGGGUAGUAGUCUUGUCUCCCACAGGGACAGCAGCAUCCUUGCCUUUCUCUGCCAUGCUGAAACCAACACCCACCAUCCAUUUGAAUGACAUGGGACUAUGAUGAUGAUACACUGACUCAGUGCUUCCCAUACUCUGAGAUAAAUCAAAUACUCCAUCUUGAUAUUUCACUUUAAUGCCUUUCAAGGAAUGUGUUAUUGCGUUGGCAUGGUACGCUUGGUUUGAUACAGUUCCUAUUACUGCAACUUUUAAUAACCUGUGAUUCACCAAGAGUGGUUUGUUGUUUCAAUGAAUUCUACCUAUCUACUACUGUGGACUGUAUCCAGGAUAACAACUCUCAAAACGCUGCUAUUAGCAAGUGAUGCCUCAUCUUGUGUGAUAUCAAUGAGCACAGUUGAACUGCUUCUGUCUGCAUCUUAUUUAAAUAUUUGUAUUUUUCUUAACUCAUUGACAUUUGUAUGUUUAGAUCCAUUUUAAUGGUGGCUCUUUUCAAAACGGGAUUACAGAUUAUAGAUUUCAGAUAAUCUCAUUAAGUGUGUUGGAUUAUUUGGAUACUUCGUACAGUGGCCAUGGUAACCUCUGUGGAACCCUGGACUCAUAACUCUGGACUCCACCUGCAGAUGGGAAUGGAAUGCAUGAUGUUCUGGAAUGCUGCAGAGUUCAUUUGUGUUCUAGGAUGUGAGUGUGCUAAAUGGAGAUCUUCCCAGUCCCUACAGGAGAGGGAUCACCACUUUCUGAUCCUGAACACUCAAACUCCAACAUCAACAUGUGCCCGAGAAGAAAUAAGUACCUCUGACUCCUAGCUCUGACUGGGUUCUUGAAAAAAUGAAAUGAAUUCAUAUAGUUGGUGCCUGAAAAACAAUGGUCUUCUAUCAUAGGUCUUCCUGGAUAAUGUGUAUGUACAUAAAUGGCUCAAUUUAUAUCAAACUACAUUUUUAGACUAUACCAUCUAUAUUGAUUUUGUAUGUAGUGUCCUACAUUCAAACACUGGCUAAUCCUAGAUGAUGGUUGGCACACAAAAUCCAUUGCCAUGGCUUCCUUCUGCGGUGGCAGGUUCAAAUCCCCUCAUUGUUUGGAGUGAAACCACAAAGCGCUGAGCCUUGAGCUUUCUCUCUUUAGCCAUGGAGCUGCCAGAAGCAGCAGGUAGCCUGCUGGGUCCUCCAGGUUGAACACACCAAUACCCUUGUCACACUACCGAGCUGGACUGAACUGAUGUACUUAGCUGGCUUGGUUACGCAUCCAGCAUGUGUAACUGCGCUGAAAGGAAAAAGGUCUGAGCCAGCACAGCUUGGUUUGGGUCGGCACGAUAGUGUGAAAAGCAGUCAAGUCUUUGGCUUAAUAUCCUGGGGUCUCCUCUCCUCCUGUGCCAGAGUGCCACUCCUGCUGUCUCAGAUGAGAUUAGAAGGACAUUGUGAAAUGUCAAUGCAUCGCCAUGCACAUGCAUUCCUGCUUUCUCUCCUGUCGGACUUCAUUCUUUAAAAUUCCAGCAAAUGUGAUCGAUGUUGAUCUACUACUGCAAUAACCCCACAUUGUAUGUAAAAACCGAAAAACAAACGACGUAUAUAUUGGUGUAGGUUUUUAAAGAUCCUUCUUUUGUUUUCCAUGACAUUCACAGUCAAGGCAGUUUUACACUAUCUGUAGCUGUUUUUGGUCGAUUUUAUGCCAAGAUACCAAUUCUUUCUAGGGUAUUUACACUCCUUUGGUGUGCUUAUUCCUAGAGGUACCAUGGCUUCUUCCUCAUAUUUUUCCUUUCAUGUUCAUGCGCAAAUAUUAGAGCAAGUGAUAUUGUCUUAAGUAACAUUGUAUAAUCUCAAAUAUCCUGUUUUAAUUUAUAUUUAUAUUGUAAAUGAACUAUCCUCCUUAGUUUCCUUAAUUUUCUACAUGCAAUACCAUACCAUACUAUAUUAUAUCAAAACUCAUCACUGUUCUGCUAUGAAGCAAGUUUGUGCCUGAAUGCAUGAGUGAGUGUGGAUGUGUGCAUGUCCUGGCUGCAUGUUCUAUGUCUCUGUGGACAUAAAUAUUUUCUUGAAUCCUGUGGCUUUUUGGGGAAUUGCUGAUAACUGAAUAUCAUAGCAGAUGACUACCUAUAACAAUACAUUUGGAUACACUUAUUUAUUACCACACAGGUUUUUCUAAAAUUAUGUAAAUUGUCAAUGACAGUAUGUUUGAUAUACAGUUGAAGUGGGAAGUUUACAUACACCUAGCCAAAUACAUGUAAACUCAGUUGUUCACAAUUUCUGACAUUUAAUCUGAGUAAGAAAUCCCUGUCUUAGGUCAGUUAGGAUCACCACUUUAUUUUAAGAAUGUGAAAUGUCAGAAUAAUAGUAGAGAGAAGGAUUUAUUUCAGCUUUUAUUUCUUUAAUCACAUUCCCAGUGGGUCAGAAGUUUACAUACACUCAAUUAGUAUUUGGUAGCAUUGCCUUUAAAUUGUUUAACUUGGGUCAAACGUUUCGGGUAGCCUUCCACAAGCUUCCCACAAUAAGUUGGGUGAAUUUUGGCCCGUUCCUCCUGACAGAGCUGGUGUAACUGAGUCAGGUGUGUAGGCCUCCUCGCUCACACAUGCCUUUUCAGUUCUGCCCACACAUUUUCUAUAGGAUUGAGGUCAGGGCUUUUGUGAUGGCCACUCCAAUACUUUGACUUUGUUGUCCUUAAGCCAUUUUGCAACAAUUUUGGAAGUAUGCUUGGGGUCAUUGUCCAUUUGAAAGACCCAUUUGCGACCAAGCUUUAACUUCCUGACUGAUGUCUUGAGAUGUUGCUUCAAUAUAUCCACAUAAUUUCCGUCCUCAUAAUGUUAUCUAUUUUGUGAAGUGCACCAGUCUCUCCUGCAGCAAAGCACCCCCACAACAUGAUGCUGCCACCUCCGUGCUUCACGGUUGGGAUGUUGUUUUUCGGCUUGCAAGCCUCCCCCUUUUUCCUCCAAACAUAACGAUGGUCAUUAUGGCCAGACAGUUCUAUUUUUGUUUCAUCAGACCAGAGGACAUUUAUCCAAAAAGUAUGAUCUUUGUCCCCAUAUGCAGUUGCAAACCGUAGUCUGGCUUUUUCUUCCUUGCUGAGUGGCCUUUCAGGUUAUGUCGAUAUAGGACUCGUUUUACUGUGGAUAUAGAUACUUUUGUACCCGUUUCCUCCAGCAUCUUCACAAGGUCCUUUACUGUUUUUCUGGGAUUGAUUUGCACAUUUCGCACCAAAGUACGUUCAUCUCUAGGUGACAGAACGCGUCUCCUUCCUGAGCGGUAUGACGGCUGCGUGGUCCCAUGGUGUUUAUACUUGCAUACUAUUGUUUGUACAGAUGAACGUGGUACCUUCAGGCGUUUGGAAAUUGCUCCCAAGGAUGACCCAGAAUUGUGGAGGUCUGCAAUUUAUUUUCUGAGGUCUUGAAUGAUUUCUUUAGAUUUUCCCAUGAUGUCAAGCAAAGAGGCACUGAGUUUGAAGGUAGGCCUUGAAAUACAUCCACAGGUACACCUCCAAUUGACUCAAAUUAUGUCAAUUAGUCUAUCAGAAGCUUCUAAAGCCAUGACAUCAUUUUGUGGAAUUUUCCAAGCUGUUUUAAAGGCACAGUCAACUUAGUGUAUGUAUACUUCUGACCCACUGGACUUGUGAUACAGUGAAUUAUAAGUUAAAUAAUUUGUCUGUAAACAAUCGUUGGAGAAAUUACUUGUCAUGCACUAAGUGGAUGUCCUAACAGACUUGCCAAAACUAUAGUUUGUUAACAAGAAAUUUGUGGAGUGGUUGAAAAGCGAGUUUUUAAUGACUCCAACCUAAGUGUAUGUAAACCUCUGACUUCAACUGUAAGUAUUGUAUAUAAUACACUAGACUUUAUUAGACCUGAUCCGUAGUUAACUCUGUUUACCACUCUUUCCCAGAAAAAGGGUUCCAAACGGGUUCUUCAGCUGUCCCCGUAGUAGAACCCGUUUUGGUUCCAGGCUGAACUCUUUUUGGUUCCACUUAGAACCCUCUGUGAAAAGGGUCUUACAUGGAACUCAAAGGGGUUCUACCUGGGACCAAAAAUGGUUCUUCAAAGGCUUCUCUUAUGGGGACAGCCAAAUAACCCUUUUAGGUUUUUCCCUAGGAGUGUAGUUGCCAUAUAACAGAAAGGUAGAUUAAAACUAAACAGCAGAAAGGUUGUCCCUCCUUCCUGAAGUCAAAGAUGACUGGUAUUGUCGGUGAGUGAUGAACUUUAUCUGAGAUGCAGGAGAAUAGCUCUGCUUCUUGUGAACAAACAGUGGGGCUUGUAGUUAAAGAUGCACUCUCAAACGUGUGUCUAAUUCCAGUCAGUAGUUUUGAAAAUGGUGCAAAGGGCCUAAAGUGGCUCUGUUUGUGUGUACUACAUCCUCCAUUUUGUAUGGUAUGUCCAAGCCUGGUCCCAGAUCUACUAGUGCUGGCAUGCCAAUGGCCAUAGGAGUUGUCUAUCCAGAACAAACAGGUCUGGGACCAGGCUUGGUGGCCUUUUUUAUUAUUAGUAGCAUCCUUGGACAAUGUCUAUGAUAGAUGAUCAUUCUCAUAACACUAGAGGUUGACUGAAGCAAUAGUCUUUUUUGAAUUUAGAGGAACGAUUGGAUAUAAAUUGUAGCCUUGAUUCCAUUUGCAAACCUUGCUCCUUUCCUAUAAUUUGUAUUUUAUUUUUAUUUAACCUUUUAUUUAACUAAUGGAAAACAGAGGAGUUUUUGGGCAAUGGAACCCCUCAUUUUCUCAAAUUCUGUUAUGUUCUAGAAUCAGUAACACUCUUCAGAGUAGUUGAAUUCAUAUUAGAUGUUCUUUCCCCCUGGUUGUAACCAGAAGCUGGGUUGUGGAAUGUGGACACCUGUGGUUUCUCACAUUGUCUUCCUAACAAAAGAGAGUUGGGAUGCUAUUAUGACUGAGGGCCAAUAAUCAUAUAAAGUUAUAAACACCAAUACCCUUAUUUUGUUAUUUUAAUCCCUUGAAGAUUAGAGUUCAGAUUUCCCAUUAAAUAAUCUGCAAGGGACUGAGUGAACUAUGAUUGUAUUUAACUAUGAUACCAAUAAAGACAUUUAUUAUUGUAA